AUGGCGGUGGUGGCGGCGACAGCACGUGUAAGAGGGAUCCCAAGAGAGAGAGAGAAAAAUAGAGAGAUUAAGAGAGAGAAAUAUCAAAAGAGGAAGGUAGCUUCGAAGAAGUUGCUAGAGGGCAGCGCCGGCUAGAGGAUAGCCGUCGGCGUCUGGAGGGGGUGGCGGCUACAGUUAAGGAGAGAGAGAAGGAGAGAGAAUGAGAACUAGGUUAAGAUUAGGGUUGUUAGUUAUAUAUAGAGAGAAAGAGAGAGAGUAGGAUUGUUGUACUAUUAGAAGCACACCAGUCCUUGUGUUCCUAAGCUUCUAGAGCAGGGCUGCUAUGCUAGUAGGAGCAUAGCAGUCCUUAUGCUCCUAUGCUUCUAGUCCAUCAAAAUUGAUGGACAUGAUUGAUCUCUUUCGUUUUCAUUAUCUCUCUCAAUUCCUCCUCUUUUUGAAUUUCUUUUCAAUUUCUCUUCUCUCUCUCACCCUUCCCACGACCAUCAUCUUCACCCCAACCUAAUCCCACUAUCAACAAAUCACCCCACCCCAACCAUAUAUGCCGCCGCCAUACUACCUCCCUUAGCCCCGCCGCCGACGUCGCCAUUGCCACUGCCUCUGCCAUCCUCUCUCAGUAUAGGAAAAAAGGUUUGUAGAGGCGGUUGUCCAGAGGCGGCUCUUGUAACCGCCUCUACACUUACGGUAGAGACAUAUUAGAGGCGAUUUAACACAACCGCCUUUAUAUCUAAAAAAAAAAAACUAAUUAAAUAUUUCUCCUUUCC
rnacentral:lncRNA from 1 species